UGAACUCUUCUUUUUUUUUGAGCAAAGGCUAGGUGAACUCCUGAAGCUCUAAAUUAGGGUUCAUACGGAACGUCAGCAUGAUUGACAGAGGGGCAAGAGUGAUGACAACCCGUAAUUUGCUAAUUAUCAAUAUUGGUGGGCUUGAAUGAUAACUUGGUCGAUGGAAUGUUUUUACAUAGGCCCAUUAAAAAAUAAAACAGAUGACCUUCAUAAAGAUAUAUUAGAUUUGGUCUCAAUGUACAAAGUAUCAUUUAGUCUAGUGGUAUAAAUGUUGAUGUUUAUAUCACAGUAACUCGGGUUCGAACCAUAUGCUUGAUAUUUUUUCACUUUUUAAAAAUGGGGACCACUUGUUGACGUGUCGUAUUAUGAGUGAUGCAACUGCCCUAUUAUAAUGUAGAUUUAACCGAACCAAUUUAAUAAAAUCUAUAGGCCAUUCUUAUAUUUAUCUAAUUGAGAACCAAUUUUAGAACUUAAAUCUUUUCAUUUUGUUUUUUUUUUUUUUUUUUUUUAAAUCUUAUCAUUUUGUUUAAAAGGUAAUAAAAUAGGUAGUCAAAAUGUGUUCUUUGAAUCAUACGAAGCUAACAGAAGAGCUCGCCUUAUAGCUGCUACUGCAUUAAUGGACUUCAGGUUUCAAUCCUAUGUUGCUAGAGGUGCACCAAGGUGGCCGUGUUCUCAAGUCUUUUGAUGGCUAUAUAUAUUACCUUGUUU
rnacentral:lncRNA from 1 species